rnacentral:lncRNA from 1 species
CUUAAAAAUAAUUGGCUCCAAUUUGAGCAAAAACUCACGACCUUCACUUUCCCAGACACACAAAGAGUUCAAAAGUUCAAAAUACCAUGAUUGAAAGGGAGGUUAUGGAAAAAAUCAAAAAGAAAAAGAAAAGGGAAUUUUGACAAGGGAAGAAAAAAAGAAACGUUAGAAGGAAAGAGUUUUUUGGGAAAAGAAAAAAAGUAAAAUAAAAUUUUAUUGACAUAUUCCUAAUAUCUCUCUAACUCCCCACUACUCCACUAACCAAAUCUAACCACCUUAGAAUUCCAGCCCCACCUAAACUCUAUCAAACAACCGAAACAAAAAUUAAC